rnacentral:rRNA from 1 species
GAGGGGAAACGGCAUUGAGUGCUUGCACUCUUUGGACGUCGACCGGCGCACGGGUGAGUAACGCGUAUCCAACCUUCCCAUUACUGUGGGAUAACCUGCCGAAAGGAGACUAAUACCGCAUAGUCUUCGAUGACGGCAUCAGAUUUGAAGUAAAGAUUUAUCGGUCAGUGAUGGGGAUGCGUCUGAUUAGCUUGUUGGCGGGGUAACGGCCCACCAAGGCAACGAUCAGUAGGGGUUCUGAGAGGAAGGUCCCCCACAUUGGAACUGAGACACGGUCCAAACUCCUACGGGAGGCAGCAGUUAGGAAUAUUGGUCAAUGGGCGAGAGCUGAACCAGCCAAGUAGCGUGCAGGAUGACGGCCCUAUGGGUUGUAAACUGCUUUUAUGUGGGGAUAAAGUGAGCUACGUGUAGUUUAUUGCAGGUACCACAUGAAUAAGGACCGGCUAAUUCCGUGCCAGCAGCCGCGGUAAUACGGAAGGUCCAGGCGUUAUCCGGAUUUAUUGGGUUUAAAGGGAGCGUAGGCCGUGGAUUAAGCGUGUUGUGAAAUGUAGACGCUCAACGUCUGAAUUGCAGCGCGAACUGGUUCACUUGAGUAUGCACAACGUAGGCGGAAUUCGUCGUGUAGCGGUGAAAUGCUUAGAUAUGACGAAGAACUCCGAUUGCGAAGGCAGCUUACGGGAGCACAACUGACGCUGAAGCUCGAAGGUGCGGGUAUCAAACAGGAUUAGAUACCCUGGUAGUCCGCACAGUAAACGAUGGAUGCCCGUUGUUAGUUCACUUUAGAAUUAGCGACCAAGCG